UGGGGAAUUUUGCGCAAUGGGCUAACGCCUGACGCAGCAACGCCGCGUGGAGGAUGAAGGUCUUUGGAUUGUAAACUCCUGUCAGCGGGGAAAAAGGGAUCUGGCCUAAUACGCUAGAAACUUGAUUGUACCCGCAGAGGAAGCCCCGGCUAACUCUGUGCCAGCAGCCGCGGUAAUACAGAGGGGGCAAGCGUUAUUCGGAAUUAUUGGGCGUAAAGGGCGCGUAGGCGGCUUUGCAAGUGGCGGGUGAAAUCCCUCGGCUUAACCGAGGAACUGCCUGCCAGACUGUGAGGCUCGAGACCGGGAGAGGUGAGUGGAAUUCCCAGUGUAGCGGUGAAAUGCGUAGAUAUUGGGAGGAACACCAGUGGCGAAGGCGGCUCACUGGACCGGAACUGACGCUGAGGCGCGAAAGCGUGGGGAGCAAACAGGAUUAGAUACCCUGGUAGUCCACGCCGUAAACGAUGAGUGCUUGGUGUAGCGGGUAUCGACCCCUGCUGUGCCGACGUCAACACAUUAAGCACUCCGCCUGGGGAGUACGGUCGCAAGACUGA
rnacentral:rRNA from 1 species